rnacentral:lncRNA from 1 species
GUUUGUGUUUCUUUAUUCCUUUAGGGUGAGGAAGGCCCCAGAGGACCAUCGGGCCCUGUGAUGACAGCACAUGGACUUAGACUUUCUGGAACUGGGGAAGGAGGUGAGAAAGGCCAGAAAGGAGAGAAAGGAGACCAGGGUGAAAAAGGUUCUGAAGGCUCAAAAGGUCUACAGGGCAAUACUGGAUUGCCUGGAUUGACAGGGGCACCAGGACUUGAGGGAAAGCAGGGUCCAACUGGUCCCACUGGCAUUCGUGGUCUUUCAGGAGACCCGGGCUCUCCCGGUCAGCCAGGAAUGCCUGGAAAAGAUGGAAUGAAAGGAGAAAAGGUACACAAGAGCACUCUGUGACUGGGGCUGCAUGUUUCUAAUACAAUGUUUUCCUUGUUUCUGCAUACGUUGAAACACUAGAUCAUGUUCAGAAGAAUUUGUUCAUAGUUUGCACCAGCUGUAAGCAGAUAUAAAGCUGUAUGCUGAAAUAGUUUUUUAAGUUGAGUUAAGUUUGAGUUAAGAUCAAUAGUAGGGUCACUUGAGGUAUCUCAAGGAAUUACUUCUUCCUGUUUGUUAUUUAUUGGGGUCCUUUGGAAGGCAAAAUGUGACAUGCCUGUAGAGAUACUGGAGAGAUAAUGAAAAUGGAAAUCUAGUCUAAAGCAUACUACUAUCUUUGAUCUGAAACUAGGCCUACAGCAAAUUUGAUCUUUAGAUGAUUUAUAGAACUAAAUAAUGGCCGUACACUUUUCAGAUUUAUUUCCAAAAUUCUCCCCAUCAGUGAGUAACAACCUGAGGACUUAAUAUUAAUAGUAAUUAAAAUAUGAGUGAUUAAGUAAAAUUGCCUUUUUCUAUAGGAAAGUCCAGUAAAACAUGUGCAUCAGUAUUAUUUUAUAAUUAUUAUUUUUUUAAUUUUCAUUUUCAUUUUAGUUUGUGUAUUUUUGUGCUUUUUUCUUUUUUUUACAUUUAUAUUUAUUUAAUUUUACUUGUUUAUAUAAAAUACCACACUGUUAUUUUCACACUGUUUUAGAAGCAUCACUACUUUAGUAUUCCCAAACAGACUGUUCCUAUGAAAGUUUCACAGUUUUUGGUCUUGUGUCUUCUUAUCUGGCUGAAAUCGAGUCUUAUGUAAGUUCUGGGAACAUGGUAUUCAUUUGAGUUUGUGUUGACUUUUAUUUUUAUAUUUUAAUUUUAAUUUUUAAAUAUUUAUUUUUAUUUAUUUUUAUUUCAGUAUUAGUUUUAAUAACUUAAUAACAUAAGUAUUUUUUUUCAUCCAAUGUUUAUAUUAUAUUUUAAUUGCGAAAAACAUUUUAAUGUUAAAUAAUUUUUUUAUUCAUAUUUUAAUUUUAUUUUUAUUAUGUACUGUAUAUAUUCCAAUAUUACUAAUGUUGGUCUUAUUUUUUAGUAGGCUAAGACAUUGCAUCACAGUAGGAAGGAGCCUUAAGUACAUUUCAUUUUCCUCCUGUAAUAAUUCACAUUUGCAAGUAUAUUGUUAGACAAAUAAAUUAAAGUUAUUGUGAGAAAGUCGACUGGCAAAAUGCAUUGAAAUAUUCACAGAUCGCUAAAUCACUGCAGUGUAUUUAAUAAAGUGAGCAUGUUCAGCAUAGCGUAUGUUUAGAGUGCUUUUUUAGUCUCUUGCCUCACCUCUGAAGUUGCAUGAUGCGAUAUCUAGGUUGGUGGCAUUUGCCCCAGAUGUCUGUGAUAUUUAAGUCCAGCUCUUAUUUUGUAUGUGCGUGUGAAGGCAGGCAUGUGUGCGCAUUUGUGGGGUGCUCC